AAAAAGUCAAUAAUUAAGAAAAUCUAAAAAAGCUAAACAUUUAAAAUCUAAACAACUAAUUAAUGAUUAAAUUAAAUUAAUAAAAAUAUAAAAGUAAAAUAAAUAGUAAGAAAUUAUAAAAAAUUUAAAUGAAAUAGUAAGCAUAAAAAAUAAAAAUAUGGAGGUAUGCUACUCCCAAGUAUCAAACCCAUCCCACUAAAGAAAGUGAAACUGCUCUCUCUCUACUA
rnacentral:lncRNA from 1 species